rnacentral:rRNA from 1 species
GAUGAACGCUGGCGGCGUGCUUAACACAUGCAAGUCGAACGGUGAAGGCGGAGCUUGCUCUGCUGGAUCAGUGGCGAACGGGUGAGUAACACGUGAGCAAUCUGCCCCUGACUCUGGGAUAAGCGCUGGAAACGGCGUCUAAUACUGGAUACGAGCUGCGAAGGCAUCUUCAGCAGCUGGAAAGAACUUCGGUCAGGGAUGAGCUCGCGGCCUAUCAGCUUGUUGGUGAGGUAACGGCUCACCAAGGCGUCGACGGGUAGCCGGCCUGAGAGGGUGACCGGCCACACUGGGACUGAGACACGGCCCAGACUCCUACGGGAGGCAGCAGUGGGGAAUCUUGCACAAUGGGCGAACGCCUGAUGCAGCAACGCCGCGUGAGGGACGACGGCCUUCGGGUUGUAAACCUCUUUUAGCAGGGAAGAAGCGAACGUGACGGUACCUGCAGAAAAAGCGCCGGCUAACUACGUG